CAAAGGAAAAAAACGACCAAUUUUAAAGCAAACAAAAAACAGAUUCAGAUCUAACAGUCUGAAUUUUGAUGUUCUUUCUCGGUCUGAAAAAAGACCCAUUGCAUGCGUAUGCAUAUCUGGAAAAAAACCCAUAGUUUUCUUCACUGAUCUCAGUCUAAUCUCUCGACGUUGAAAAACUUCUGCAAUUUUUUCAAAGUGAGACAGAUAAAAAACACAAACGUCUCCAUCAAUCACGGUAAACUGGAUUAUCCAGCCUCCGUAGUCAUCAUCGUUCAUGAUACCAUGCAAUAGCAGUUUCACAUGAGUGAGUUGGUCAAGAAGUACGAAAUAAUCAAAUCAAUGGUGCCGAUUAUAAAAAGGAAAAAAAAAAGAACUUCCACAUCUGUCAUCAUAUUCUGUAACAAAUUUUUUGAUGAUCUUUAUUUGGAAGUUGAAUUAAUAGUCUGUUAAAAAAAAUCUGGUUCAAAAUUACCAGACUGUGAUGAAUAGAAGAAGAAGAAGAAGAAGAAUGGUUAGUGAGAGAGAAGCAAAGCUUCCAUGUGCAGAGAUUGGUAGAAAAGGGUAUGAAUCUGGUGGAGAUGAGCAAGCAGUUAUGAUGUUGUAGUAGAAAGAUGAAAAGGAGACACAACAGCUUGGUGCUUUCUGGCUAAAAACUGUGAAUAUGUGCAGAUUAAUACUUAGGCGUGAGUUUGUAGAGGAUCGAACAUUGAUACUUUUGAAUCAUCAUUAACAUCAAACCUUGUUGAGUAGGUCUUCCAUGAAUGAAGAACCCUCACUUGCACCUUCUAAGAAGUCUUGUAAGGCUUUACGUCUCGGAGGGAAUUAAAGAUUAUGCAAAGAGAUUUGAGGGCGGGAUUGAUUGAGAAGAUAUUGUGCGAAUAGUUACCAAAAAUUCCGAAGGAAUAUUCUUCAGUUUGAUUGUUGAGCUUGACAAUAUUGGGCUUAUGGACAAUUUAAAAAACUGUAUCAUGCUAAUAUGGCCGAAAAUGUAUUAAACUGGCCCAAACAAAGGAUGAAACCGGGUUUUUAAAAAAAAACACGCGGAUCUUAGUUGUUUGGAUCAGAUAAUUUUUUUUAGGAUUUUGGACACAUUUGCCCUGUUCAAUUUAUCGAAUCCUCCUCCUUUUAAAUGUAUUCAGUGGCAAUUGCUGUAAAUACAUGAAGGAUUUCAGGCAUUUUUUAAAAUG